UCCCAAAUAGUCUAGGCGGUUAGGAUACGUGGCUUUCACCCACGCGACCCGGGUUCGAGUCCCGGUUUAGGAA
rnacentral:tRNA from 1 species